rnacentral:rRNA from 1 species
UACGUAGGGGGCUAGCGUUGUCCGGAUUUAUUGGGCGUAAAGAGCGUGUAGGCGGCCAGGUAGGUCUGGUGUGAAAACUCGAGGCUUAACCUCGAGAUGUCAUCGGAAACCAUCUGGCUAGAGUCCGGAAGAGGAGAGUGGAAUUCCUGGUGUAGCGGUGGAAUGCGCAGAUAUCAGGAGGAACACCAAUAGCGAAGGCAGCUCGCUGGGACGGUACUGACGCUGAGACGCGAAAGCGUGGGGAGCGAACAGG